UUCCUGCUCCACCAAAUCCAGUGGGACUUUGAACACUGAUAUCUGUAAGAGACAUGUCAACCUGUGAAUUACUUAAGGAAGAAGGACAUCCAACAUGAUUUUAUGCAUCAGCAGGUUGUCCCACGUGAUGCCAGGCCUGAAAUAAAAAAAGAUUGUCCAAGGAAUAUUUGGUAAAAUCAGUCCUAGGACAAAAUGGGAAGAAUCAAAAUUCUGAGUGGAGGUCAGUGUGUUUGUCAGGGAGCUGCAAGAGAGUUGAGCUGAGAGCCAAUUGUGACAACACUGCCAGCAGAGCAGGGGCCUCACCAGCAUGGGAGCUGUUCCUGUAUCUCCUGAGCAAUAAGGGCAGGGCAGGGCCUGAGCAGUGAUCACAGCAGCAGGAUGGCUAAGCAGGGACAUGGAGACAGGGAUGAGCUGAAGCUAAGCUGGGAUGUCAGCUGGUGGUGGUCAGGAUCAGGAAUGGGAAGAUAUAGAAUUCAGUUUAUUAACUAGGAAUUAAUUAAGCCAUGUGGUGAAUAGUGGCUUCACAUCAGAUAUGGAUCCUCUCUGUCCAGAAUACCUGUGUAUGCUAAUCCUUUAACCAUGGAGCUGGAGGCAAUCUGUUAGCCUUCUAGCUCUAUUGGCCAAGAUAUGGAAGCUAAAGAUUACAUCUAGAAGCAACUCAAAUGAUUUACAUCUUCAUGAAUUAAA